rnacentral:rRNA from 1 species
CUCAAAGAUUAAGCCAUGCAUGUAUAAGUAUAAACGAUUUUAUCGUGAAACCGCGAACGGCUCAUUAUAACAGCUAUAAUUUACUUGAUCUUGACUAUCCUACUUGGAUAACUGUGGUAAUUCUAGAGCUAAUACAUGCACCAAAGCUCUGACCUUACGGAAAGAGUGCAUUUAUUAGAACAAAACCAAGCGACCCUGGUCGUUUUUUGUUGACUCAGAAUAACUCAGCUGAUCGCACGGUCUUGCACCGGCGACGUGUCUUUCAAGUAUCUGCCUUAUCAACUUUCGAUGGUAGUGUAUCUGACUACCAUGGUGGUGACGGGUAACGGAGGAUAAGGGUUUGACUCCGGAGAAGGGGCCUGAGAAAUGGCCACUACGUCUAAGGAUGGCAGCAGGCGCGCAAAUUACCCACUCUCAGAACGAGGAGGUAGUGACGAAAAAUAACGAGACCGUUCUCUAUGAGGCCGGUCAUCGGAAUGGGUACAAUCUAAACCCUUUAACGAGUAUCUAUGAGAGGGCAAGUCUGGUGCCAGCAGCCGCGGUAAUUCCAGCUCUCAAAAUGCAUAGAAUUAUUGCUGCGGUUAAAAAGCUCGUAGUUGGAUCUGUGCUAAGGACUUGGUCCACCUUCGGGUGCGCACUAAGCUCCAUGGCUUUUCUGCCGGUUUUCCCGUCGUGGCUUUAAACGGCUGUGGCGGGUGGCUGGUGAUUUUACUUUGAACAAAUCAGAGUGCUCAAAACAGGCGUUUAGCUUGUAUGCUUUUGCAUGGAAUAAUAGAAGAGGAUUUCGGUUCUAUUUUAUUGGUUUUAUAGACUGAAAUAAUGGUUAACAGAGACCAACGGGGGCAUUCGUACCGCUGCGUGAGAGGUGAAAUUCUUGGACCGCAGCGAGACGAACUACAGCGAAAGCAUUUGCCAAGAAGGUCUUCAUUAAUCAAGAACGAAAGUCAGAGGUUCGAAGGCGAUCAGAUACCGCCCUAGUUCUGACCGUAAACAAUGCCAACUAGCGAUCUGCCGGUGGAAUUUUUGCCCUGGUAGGGAGCUUCCCGGAAACGAAAGUCUUCCGGUUCCGGGGGAAGUAUGGUUGCAAAGCUGAAACUUAAAGGAAUUGACGGAAGGGCACCACCAGGAGUGGAGCCUGCGGCUUAAUUUGACUCAACACGGGGAAACUCACCCGGCCCGGACACCAUAAGGAUUGACAGAUUGAUAGCUUUUUCAUGAUUUGGUGGAUGGUGGUGCAUGGCCGUUCUUAGUUCGUGGAGCGAUUUGUCUGGUUUGUUCCGAUAACGAGCGAGACUCUAGCCUACUAAAUAGUCUGCACAUUGCUUCUGUGUUGCAGUACUUCUUAGAGGGAUUUUCGGUGUACAGCCGCACGAGAUUGAGCAAUAACAGGUCUGUGAUGCCCUUAGAUGUCCGGGGCUGCACGCGCGCUACACUGGCGAAAUCAGCGUGCUUGUCCUUUCUCGAAAGAGAUUGGUAAACCAAUCAAAAUUUGCCGUGAUUGGGAUCGGAAAUUGCAAUUAUUUUCCGUGAACGAGGAAUUCCAAGUAAAUGCGAGUCAUCAACUCGCGUUGAUUACGUCCCUGCCCUUUGUACACACCGCCCGUCGCUGCCCGGGACUGAGCCAUUUCGAGAAAUUUGGGGAUUGCCGAUUAGCGGUCUUUCGGGAUUGCUUUUUGGUGAGAACCAAUUUAAUCGCAGUGGCUUGAACCGGGC